GACCCAGUGGCGCACGGCGCGCACCCACCUUGCAUUAUCGUUCUUCCAGUGGCUUGCACGUGGGAGGCCCUGGUUCGACUCUAGGCUGGGUCA